rnacentral:rRNA from 1 species
AGUGAACGCUGGCGGUAGGCCUAACACAUGCAAGUCGAACGGCAGCACAGUAAGAGCUUGCUCUUACGGGUGGCGAGUGGCGGACGGGUGAGGAAUACAUCGGAAUCUACUUUUUCGUGGGGGAUAACGUAGGGAAACUUACGCUAAUACCGCAUACGACCUACGGGUGAAAGCAGGGGAUCUUCGGACCUUGCGCGAUUGAAUGAGCCGAUGUCGGAUUAGCUAGUUGGCGGGGUAAAGGCCCACCAAGGCGACGGUCCGUAGCUGGUCUGAGAGGAUGAUCAGCCACACUGGAACUGAGACACGGUCUAGACUCCUACGGGAGGCAGCAGUGGGGAAUAUUGGACAAUGGGCGCAAGCCUGAUCCAGCCAUACCGCGUGGGUGAAGAAGGCCUUCGGGUUGUAAAGCCCUUUUGUUGGGAAAGAAAAGCAGCAGGUUAAUACCCCGCUGUUCUGACGGUACCCAAAGAAUAAGCACCGGCUAACUUCGUG